rnacentral:rRNA from 1 species
UACACAUGCAAGUCGAACGGCAGCACGGAGCUUGCUCUGGUGGCGAGUGGCGAACGGGUGAGUAAUAUAUCGGAACGUACCCAAGAGUGGGGGAUAACGUAGCGAAAGUUACGCUAAUACCGCAUACGAUCUAUGGAUGAAAGCAGGGGACCGCAAGGCCUUGUGCUCCUGGAGCGGCCGAUAUCUGAUUAGCUAGUUGGUGGGGUAAAGGCCCACCAAGGCAACGAUCAGUAGCUGGUCUGAGAGGACGACCAGCCACACUGGAACUGAGACACGGUCCAGACUCCUACGGGAGGCAGCAGUGGGGAAUUUUGGACAAUGGGGGCAACCCUGAUCCAGCAAUGCCGCGUGAGUGAAGAAGGCCUUCGGGUUGUAAAGCUCUUUUGUCAGGGAAGAAAAGGCUGUGGCUAAUAUCCACGGCUCAUGACGGUACCUGAAGAAUAAGCACCGGCUAACUACGUGCCAGCAGCCGCGGUAAUACGUAGGGUGCAAGCGUUAAUCGGAAUUACUGGGCGUAAAGCGUGCGCAGGCGGUUUUGUAAGACUGUCGUGAAAUCCCCGGGCUCAACCUGGGAAUGGCGAUGGUGACUGCAAGGCUAGAGUUUGGCAGAGGGGGGUAGAAUUCCACGUGUAGCAGUGAAAUGCGUAGAUAUGUGGAGGAACACCGAUGGCGAAGGCAGCCCCCUGGGUCAAAACUGACGCUCAUGCACGAAAGCGUGGGGAGCAAACAGGAUUAGAUACCCUGGUAGUCCACGCCCUAAACGAUGUCUACUAGUUGUCGGGUCUUAAUUGACUUGGUAACGCAGCUAACGCGUGAAGUAGACCGCCUGGGGAGUACGGUCGCAAGAUUAAAACUCAAAGGAAUUGACGGGGACCCGCACAAGCGGUGGAUGAUGUGGAUUAAUUCGAUGCAACGCGAAAAACCUUACCUACCCUUGACAUGGCAGGAAUCCCGGAGAGAUCUGGGAGUGCUCGAAAGAGAACCUGCACACAGGUGCUGCAUGGCUGUCGUCAGCUCGUGUCGUGAGAUGUUGGGUUAAGUCCCGCAACGAGCGCAACCCUUGUCAUUAGUUGCUACGCAAGAGCACUCUAAUGAGACUGCCGGUGACAAACCGGAGGAAGGUGGGGAUGACGUCAAGUCCUCAUGGCCCUUAUGGGUAGGGCUUCACACGUCAUACAAUGGUACAUACAGAGGGCCGCCAACCCGCGAGGGGGAGCUAAUCCCAGAAAGUGUAUCGUAGUCCGGAUCGUAGUCUGCAACUCGACUACGUGAAGUUGGAAUCGCUAGUAAUCGCGGAUCAGCAUGUCGCGGUGAAUACGUUCCCGGGUCUUGUACACACCGCCCGUCACACCAUGGGAGCGGGUUUUACCAGAAGUAGGUAGCUUAA